CAGUCGCCGCGGGAAUACGGAGGGUGCAAGCGUUAAUCGGAAUUACUGGGCGUAAAGCGUGCGUAGGCGGUUCGUUAAGUCUGUUGUGAAAGCCCCGGGCUCAACCUGGGAAUGGCAAUGGAUACUGGCGAGCUAGAGUGUGUCAGAGGAUGGUGGAAUUCCCGGUGUAGCGGUGAAAUGCGUAGAGAUCGGGAGGAACGCCCGUGGCGAAAGCGGGCUCCUGGACCCCACCUGACGCUGAGACGCGAAAGCCAGGGGAGCGAACGGGAUUAGAUACCCCGGUAGUCCCUGUCUCUUAUAC
rnacentral:rRNA from 1 species